GAUGAACGCUGGCGGCGUGCCUAAUACAUGCAAGUCGAACGCUUUGUGGUUCAACUGAUUUGAAGAGCUUGCUCAGAUAUGACGAUGGACAUUGCAAAGAGUGGCGAACGGGUGAGUAACACGUGGGAAACCUACCUCUUAGCAGGGGAUAACAUUUGGAAACAGAUGCUAAUACCGUAUAACAAUGACAACCGCAUGGUUGUUAUUUAAAAGAUGGUUCUGCUAUCACUAAGAGAUGGUCCCGCGGUGCAUUAGCUAGUUGGUAAGGUAAUGGCUUACCAAGGCGAUGAUGCAUAGCCGAGUUGAGAGACUGAUCGGCCACAAUGGGACUGAGACACGGCCCAUACUCCUACGGGAGGCAGCAGUAGGGAAUCUUCCACAAUGGGCGAAAGCCUGAUGGAGCAACGCCGCGUGUGUGAUGAAGGGUUUCGGCUCGUAAAACACUGUUGUAAGAGAAGAAUGACAUUGAGAGUAACUGUUCAAUGUGUGACGGUAUCUUACCAGAAAGGAACGGCUAAAUACGUGCCAGCAGCCGCGGUAAUACGUAUGUUCCAAGCGUUAUCCGGACUUAUUGGGCGUAAAGCGAGCGCAGACGGUUAUUUAAGUCUGAAGUGAAAGCCCUCAGCUCAACUGAGGAAUUGCUUUGGAAACUGGAUGACUUGAGUGCAGUAGAGGAAAGUGGAACUCCAUGUGUAGCGGUGAAAUGCGUAGAUAUAUGGAAGAACACCAGUGGCGAAGGCGGCUUUCUGGACUGUAACUGACGUUGAGGCUCGAAAGUGUGGGUAGCAAACAGGAUUAGAUACCCUGGUAGUCCACACCGUAAACGAUGAGUGCUAGGUGUGUGAGGAUUUCCGCCCUUAAGUGCCGCAGCUAACGCAUUAAGCACUCCGCCUGGGGAGUACGACCGCAAGGUUGAAACUCAAAGGAAUUGACGGGGACCCGCACAAGCGGUGGAGCAUGUGGUUUAAUUCGAAGCAACGCGAAGAACCUUACCAGGUCUUGACAUCCCUUGACAACUCCAGAGAUGGAGCGUUCCCUUCGGGGACAAGGUGACAGGUGGUGCAUGGUUGUCGUCAGCUCGUGUCGUGAGAUGUUGGGUUAAGUCCCGCAACGAGCGCAACCCUUAUUACUAGUUGCCAGCAUUCAGUUGGGCACUUUAGUGAGACUGCCGGUGACAAACCGGAGGAAGGUGGGGAUGACGUCAAAUCAUCAUGCCCCUUAUGACCUGGGCUACACACGUGCUACAAUGGCGUAUACAACGAGUUGCCAACCCGCGAGGGUGAGCUAAUCUCUUAAAGUACGUCUCAGUUCGGAUUGUAGGCUGCAACUCGCCUACAUGAAGUCGGAAUCGCUAGUAAUCGCGGAUCAGCACGCCGCGGUGAAUACGUUCCCGGGUCUUGUACACACCGCCCGUCACACCAUGAGAGUUUGUAACACCCAAAGCCGGUGGGGUAACCUUCGGGAGCCAGCCGUCUAAGGUGGGACAGAUGAUUAGGGUG
rnacentral:rRNA from 1 species